UACAGAGGUGGCAAGCGUUGUUCGGAAUUACUGGGCGUAAAGGGCGCGUAGGCGGCCUCCUAAGUCAGACGUGAAAUCCCCCGGCUUAACCUGGGAACCGCGUCUGAUACUGGGAGGCUAGAGUGCGGGAGAGGGAUGCGGAAUUCCAGGUGUAGCGGUGAAAUGCGUAGAUAUCUGGAGGAACACCGGUGGCGAAGGCGGCAUCCUGGACCGGUAUUGACGCUGAGGCGCGAAAGCCAGGGGAGCAAACGGG
rnacentral:rRNA from 1 species